GGGGGUGAUGGGGCCGAGCCCCGGUGGGCGCCGUCCGGCCGCGGCGGUAAGCGGGGCUGGGCCGCGGGUCUCGCCGCGCCUCUCCUCGAGGGGAGGGCAGGGGAGGAGGGGAUCGGGGAAGGCAGCGCGACCUCCCCGCCCUCCUGCUCGAGAGGCCCGCUCGGACAGCGGCGACGGCGACCGGAGGAUGUCUUUUUCCUCAGUGCUGCCUCGGGUAUAGGUGAGCACCCGAAAUAAACACCCUCGGCCCGAGGUGAGAUAGCAGCGAUGUGCAGCGCCGUGUUGCCGAAGGGUUUUGCUAAGUGACUAACAAAACCUGAACAUCAGGAAGAGCAGGCAACAUUGUCCAUAGUGAGUUAGUGGAUGGCUGAAAUUUGGCUUGACUAUUGAGUUGCUGAAAUGUUUUGCUGCUUGAGAACCGUGAGAAGGUUAUGUGUGGACAAGAUAUUGCUACAGUGUGUUCUUCAGGCAAGAACUUUGUCAGGAGCUGAUGCCAUCAAUGCUCUCAGACCUUUCUAUUUUGCUGUACAUCCAGAUUUCUUUGGCCAGCAUCCCAAAGAGAGGGAAGUAAAUGAAAACUCUCUGAAGAGGUUAAAUGGCUACUUGGAGAACCUACAGAAACCAGGAUUUCGUUCCUUGAAGCCAACUCAGCUUACUUUUUAUGGUUUCGAGCAGUCAGUUUUACGUUACGUACUAGGGAUCUCCUGAGCACAGUAUUAGAUAUUCUCAACUCCUGCAGUUUAUCUACAGAGCAUAUUCAGAGUUUGAAUGUGAACUCUCAGCCACACAAGGAAGCAAAAAGCACAGUGAACAGACCUAUCAAAUGGGAUAAGACUUAUUAUUCGUUUACUGGAUUCAAGGAUCCUGAGGAGGAACUAGAACAAGCCCAGAGAGUGGAAACAACUUUAAUAUCCUGGCUAGAUGAUAACGGAGCAAGUGCAGUAAAAAAGCUGAAAAAGAGUUUGCCGCUUAGAAAAGAACUAGAACGUUUAAAAUUUGAACUUUGUAAUGAACUCCAGCUCUCAGAUAUCAGGUGGCAGAGAAGCUGGGGUAUUGCUCACCGCUGUAGCCAGCUGCACAGUCUAGCUCGCUUAGUCCAACAGCGACCUGAAGUAUUAAAGAAUGUUAAAGGGCGCACAGUGGUAUUUACAGACCGCUCAGGUAUGAGUGCAGCAGGUCACAUAAUGCUGGGGACCAUGGAUGUUCACCAUCACUGGACCAAAAUUUUUGAGAGACUGCCAAAUUAUUAUAAGCUUCAAAAAAGGCUGCUGUUCUUGGAAGAUCGGAUAAGUGAACUUCUGGGAGGCAUACAAGUAAUAUAUAUUGAAGAACUGCAACCUUUGUUGACUCUAGAAGAGUACUACGAGACUCUGAACUCUUUCUGUAAUAAGUUACGUGACAGUAGACUGCCUUUUCAUCCUCGCAGUCUGCGAGGUUUGCAAAUGAUUCUGGAAAGUGACAGAUAUGCACCAAGCUUACAUGAAUUUGGACACUUUAUGAUCCCAACGGUCUGCGAUCCAGCUGCUCUUCAAUGGUUUAUUUUUGCCAAAGCACAGGAAGCAAGAGAGAAUCUGAAAAGAAAGGAGGAGAUGAUGAUUACAGAAAAAGAACUAAUUGAUACUUCCACUGAAAAAUUCUCUUUGGACCGGCUGUAUAAGGAGCCGAGUGUUUCCAGUGCACAGAUGAUAGAUUGUUGUAAGCGGCUGCUGGAAGAAUCGCUGCCAUACCUACAAGGCAUGCACCUUUGCAUUUCACAUUUCUACUCUGUGCUGCAGGAUGGAGACCUGUGUAUACCUUGGAACUGGAAAAACUGAGAGACAUAUCUGAUAAUCAGAUGAAUUGUUUAUUUUCUGUAAGAGGUUAUAAAUAUGAAUGUUUUUAAGAGUAAAUUAUUUAAAUCUGUAUUUUGAUAUCAGUAUUCAACAUACAAAUUUUCUUCCAGCUGCUGCUCAAGAAGGAGUGGAGUCCUAGACAAUUUGCACAAUGCACAGUAUUGGUAGUUCUGAAAAAGACAUUUGUACAUCAUCCAUGCUACUGUAGAAGUUUAAUGUAUGUUAGCAGUUGUGAAACUGCAUUUUUGUAGUGAAUUCUGAAAAUACAUUAAAUUGUGAGUCUCUAAAAAUGUGCAUGUGUAUUUUUGAUAUACAUGAAUAUUGCCACAUAGAUCACCUUAAAGAGUGUGCUAUUCAAAGCAGACAUUAUAUGUUAUCUUAAGGGAUUCAUUGAAUGCAGAAGUUCAAUACAUAAUUUGUCUUCUGGCAACACUGGCAUUUCAUACUGCUGCUUAUUACUGAAUUAGGAAAAAAACAAAAAAGCAAGGGAAAAACAACAGAAUAUUUCUACUUUGACGAAGAAAACAGUACAUUAACUUGGUCUCUACAGCACAGUUUCAUAUGCUGGUCCAACAGUAUUGCCUUAGAAUUCCAAAAUACACCAGUUGUACUGUCUGCAGUUACUUUAAAGCAGAUGUCAUUCUCUUUUUGUUUUCCAGCAUUUGCUCCAUAAAUACAGACAAUCCUCUUUACUUACACUAUAACAGAUUGCAAAUCCCAUUCACAACACUUAAAACCUGAGUACUUUAAUGUGACAUCUAAGGAAAGGAAGCAUUGAUUUGUGUGGGAUUGUCUGCAAGAGUAAGUAUUUCUCAAUAAGAACAAGGAGUUUGCAGUACGGCAAAUGGAUCUUUACUGGUACUUUGUUCUUUGAAAAAAAAAACCAUGAAAUAAAGUGUGAAUGUAUGUCAACACUUUUUCAUUGUAAUACAUGCCAAGAUGCAUUUUGGUAUUUGGAUUACUACUUUACAAAAUAUCUUUUGAGAAACACCAACUGCUUAACAUUUCUGCACUUGAAUUCAUCAUAACUGGCAAAAAAAAAAGAAAAAGAGGAAUUGUCAAAUGCUUACUUGCCUUGUCUUUUUAUUUGUAUUGAGCAGGGAAAUUGUUGUGGUUCUCUGUUUUCUCCUGUUAAAAGGCUCAGUGUCAAGUUGUUUGAUAUGUUGUCAAACUUAAAACAAAAAUUCUCACUGUGAUUUCAAAUGUGUGUUUUAAAACAUUGAGGCAGGAACUGUGACUUUUUCAGACCUUUAAUUCAGGGAUAUUACUGGCAAUUCCUUGUGUAGGUUUUGAAGGUCAGUUGAUAGUUUCUUCUAAGUAGUUAACUUCCAUUGCACGUUACCUCCCUCGCUCCAUGUAUCAUUGAUGAUCCUGUCCAUGUCCCCUCUGUGCUAAGCAAGUGAGCCAGUCCUAUCAGCUGUAGCCCAGCAAUAUUCCCUGUAAUAGCUCUUUGAAAGCAGGGUGUCAUUGGCAAUAAAAAGUGAAUGUAGUGGA